AUACUUUUUGCAUUAUGGGUAUAUGUAAUGGGGAAUUUCUGGAGAAUAUAUUAUUAGGGAAUAGUGGAUAUCCAUUCCUCAACUACAACUACCGAAUGACACCAUUCCAGAAUUUUCAGACAGAAGUUGUGUUUUUAUAAUCCAUCACAAAUCCCUUCAAGAAUUGUUAUUGAAAGAACAUUUGGUAUUGUGAAGAGAUUUCCCAUUUUACCAUAUGUAAUGAGAUGCAGCUUGUUCAGUUUUACAUAUUGCAGUAGUACAUAAUAGAGAAAACGUUGAAAUACUGGCAAAUGAGUGUGCUGUUGAUAUUGAUAUAGAAGCUGUGGCAGUACAUUUUCAACCAGGAGCUAAUCUAAUGCGACUAAAUUGUGUGUGUGUUUGUUUAAAAUUAUUGUUCGACAUUUAAAGCUAGCGCUUAAACUAGUUUUAUUUUUAUUGGACUGCAGUUUGUUAAUAAAUUUAUAAAUAAAUAUAAAUAUUAUAUUGGUGACUGAUUUUAAGUAUUUUAUGAUCAUUAGCAGGUUUUAAAUAAUAAAUUUAUAAAUAUAUACAUAUAUGCUAUUGGCGUUUGAUCUUUUAUCCAUUUGGCCCUCUCUUUCUUUCUUUUCACCUCUGGAUAACUAGUUAUCAGGAAGUUUAUCUGACAGAUUAGAUACUAAUAGAUAUCUGACAGAGAAAAACUUCCCGUUAACUAGUUAUCCGGAGCUGAAAAGACAGAUACUAAGGAUACUGUUAUAUAAACUUCCCAAUAAUUAGUUAUCUGAAAAUGAAAAGACCUCUAAUCUGUCAGAUAAACUUCCCGAUAUACAAAAAGAUAAUAGAAGAAUUAAGCUUUAUGCUGGUUUUUAUUAAUUUUUUUGGCAAUGUUUAAAU
rnacentral:lncRNA from 1 species